rnacentral:rRNA from 1 species
AGAGUUUGAUCUUGGCUCAGGAUGAACGCUAGCUACAGGCUUAACACAUGCAAGUCGAGGGGAAACGAUAGAGAAAGCUUGCUUUUUCUAGGCGUCGACCGGCGCACGGGUGAGUAACGCGUAUCCAACCUGCCCACCACUUGGGGAUAACCUUGCGAAAGUAAGACUAAUACCCAAUGACGUCUCUAGAAGACAUCUGAAAGGGAUUAAAGAUUUAUCGGUGAUGGAUGGGGAUGCGUCUGAUUAGCUUGUUGGCGGGGUAACGGCCCACCAAGGCAACGAUCAGUAGGGGUUCUGAGAGGAAGGUCCCCCACAUUGGAACUGAGACACGGUCCAAACUCCUACGGGAGGCAGCAGUGAGGAAUAUUGGUCAAUGGGCGAGAGCCUGAACCAGCCAAGUAGCGUGCAGGAUGACGGCCCUAUGGGUUGUAAACUGCUUUUAUAAGGGAAUAAAGUGAGCCUCGUGAGGCUUUUUGCAUGUACCUUAUGAAUAAGGACCGGCUAAUUCCGUGCCAGCAGCCGCGGUAAUACGGAAGGUCCGGGCGUUAUCCGGAUUUAUUGGGUUUAAAGGGAGCGUAGGCCGGAGAUUAAGCGUGUUGUGAAAUGUAGAUGCUCAACGUCUGCACUGCAGCGCGAACUGGUUUCCUUGAGUACGCACAAAGUGGGCGGAAUUCGUGGUGUAGCGGUGAAAUGCUUAGAUAUCACGAAGAACUCCGAUUGCGAAGGCAGCUCACUGGAGCGCAACUGACGCUGAAGCUCGAAAGUGCGGGUAUCGAACAGGAUUAGAUACCCUGGUAGUCCGCACGGUAAACGAUGGAUGCCCGCUGUUGGUCUGAAUAGGUCAGCGGCCAAGCGAAAGCAUU